rnacentral:rRNA from 1 species
UUUGUAUUUAGUUUUUUGUUAAAGUAUUAUUUUGUUUAUUAUUUUAUAGAAAUACUUUUUUUUAUUAUAGUUGAUUGUACCGUAAGGGAAAUUUUAAGAAUUUGUAGAAGGAGGCUGAUUUUGUACCUUGUGUAUCAGGGUAAAUUAAUUAUCAGGGGUUAUUUCUUUUUCUCGAAUUAGUAAGAGUUAAAUUUAUAUUUUUGUCAUGUAGAAAAAUGAUUAUUAAUAUAGAUUUAGAAAUGAAACGUUAUUCGUUUAUUAAUAUAUCUGGUUGUUUAAGAAAGGAAUUGAAUUUCAUUGUUUAUUUUAAUUUGAUUUAAUUUUUAUUUAUUUUGUGUAGACACUUAAACAUGGCUAGGGAUAAGCUUGGUUAUGGAUCCUUACAAGGUAGUUUUUAUUGUUAAUUUUAUUUAGUAUUAGAAUUUUACAUAUUCAAUAUGUUAUAAUUGGUUAUUAAAAUUUAUGAUUUUUUAUACUUUAUGUUUUUUAUUAAACUGAAUUUUAGAAUUUUAUUUAAUUUGUAAUAAUGAUUUAAUUAGUAGAAUGAUCUGUGUUAAUUAAUAUUGAUUGUUAGAUUAGUUUAAGGAACUCGGCAAAUUUAUUUUUCACCUGUUUAUUAAAAACAUGUCCUUUUGUUAAGAAUAUAAGGUCUGGCCUGCCCACUGAUUUUUGAAUGGCUGCAGUAUUUUGACUGUACAAAGGUAGCAUAAUCAUUAGUUUUUUAAUUAAAAGCUGGAAUGAAUGGUUGGAUGAAAAAAUUACUGUCUUUGGUUGAAGUGUUGAAUUUAAUUUUUUAAUUAAAAAGUUUAAAUGUUUAUAAAAGACGAGAAGACCCUAUAGAGUUUAAUAUUUGAUAUUAUUAAUUUUUUGGGAUUUAUUAAUUUAAUUUUAUGAGAAUAUUUGGUUGGGGUGAUUAUUAAAUUAAAUUAACUUUUUUUUAUUAAAUACAAUGAUUUUUGUUUAUUUGAUCCAUUAUUUUUGAUUAAAAGAUUAAAUUACCUUAGGGAUAACAGCGUAAUUUUUCUUUAGAGUUCUUAUCGAUAGAGGAGAUUGCGACCUCGAUGUUGGAUUAAAAUUAAUUUAUGGCGGAGAAGCUAUGAAAUUAGGUCUGUUCGACCUUUAAAAUUUUACAUGAUCUGAGUUUAAACCGGUGUGAGCCAGGUUGGUUUCUAUCUUUAUAAUAAUAAUUUAUUUUAGUACGAAAGGACCAAAUAAGUAAUUAAUAAUUUGUUGUUUGAAUAAUAGUG